AGUGAACGCUGGCGGCAGGCCUAACACAUGCAAGUCGAGCGGAUGAAGGGAGCUUGCUCCUGCAUUCAGCGGCGGACGGGUGAGUAAUUCCUAGGAAUCUGCCUGUCUGUUUGGGAUAACGUCCGGACACGGGCGCUAAUACCCCAAUCGUCCUGAGGACGAACGGGUGGGAUCUUCGGACCUCACGCUAUCAGAUGAGCCUAUGUCGGAUUAGCUAGUUGGUGGGGUAAAGGCGUACCAAGGCGACGAUCCGUAACUGGUCUGAGAGGAUGAUCAGUCACACUGGAACUGAGACACGGUCCAGACUCCUACGGGAGGCAGCAGUGGGGAAUAUUGGACAAUGGGCGCAAGCCUGAUCCAGCCAUGCCGCGUGUGUGAAGAAGGUCUUCGGAUUGUAAAGCACUUUUAGUGGGGAGGAAGGGCAGUAAGUUAAUACCUCGCUGUUUUGACGUUACCCACAGAAUAAGCACCGGCUAACUUCGUG
rnacentral:rRNA from 1 species